UACGUAGGGGGCGAGCGUUGUCCGGAGUUAUUGGGCGUAAAGGGCGUGCAGGCGGUGCGGUAAGUUUAGAGUGACAGUCUUCGGCUUAACUGGAGAAGGCCUCUGAAAACUGCCGGACUUGAGGGCCAGAGAGGGACAUAGAAUUCCGGGUGGAGUGGUGAAAUGCGUAGAUAUCCGGAGGAAUACCAAAGGCGAAGGCAGUGUCCUGGCUGGCAUCUGACGCUGAGGCGCGAAAGCUAGGGGAGCGAACAGG
rnacentral:rRNA from 1 species